GGUCAUUGGACACCAGGACUCACAGGUGGCAUGAGGCGGAUGCAGCCUCGUAAACAACGAUGUCACCAGCCUUAAAUAACAGGGAUCAGGGAAUCGCAGGGACAAGCAGAUCUAUUUUGUUUCAGUACAAACAACCACAGCAAUGGGGGCAAUAACAUUACCACAUUUCCUCAUAAUGAGGGGUAUGAAAUUAGCCAGGAGUGGUGCAUUUGACAGUAAAGAACAUGAAGAGAUAAUUCCUGGACCUGAACAGGGUGUGAUGGUGCUGGGACACUACAGAGUCUUCCCAUGCACCAACUGGACAAUAAAUCCAUAAGAUGCUUUGGGAAGAGACCGGCAUUUGAAUCAGGAGACUGAGGGAAGAAGCAAGGCUGGGCAUCAUCCAAUCCACUGAGGACCCAAAGAGAGCAAAAAGGCAGAAGGGGG